UACGGAGGGGGCUAGCGUUGUUCGGAAUUACUGGGCGUAAAGCGCGUGUAGGCGGCUUGGCAAGUCGGGUGUGAAAGCCCCGGGCUCAACCUGGGAAGUGCACUCGAAACUGCUUCGCUUGAGUAUCGGAGAGGGAAGUGGAAUUCUCGGUGUAGAGGUGAAAUUCGUAGAUAUCGAGAGGAACGUCGGUGGCGAAGGCGGCUUCCUGGACGAUUACUGACGCUGAGACGCGAAAGCGUGGGGGGCAAACAGG
rnacentral:rRNA from 1 species